rnacentral:rRNA from 1 species
UACGGAGGGUGCAAGCGUUAAUCGGAAUUACUGGGCGUAAAGCGCGCGUAGGCGGUUAUUUAAGUCGGAUGUGAAAGCCCCGGGCUCAACCUGGGAAUUGCAUACGAUACUGGGUAACUAGAGUAUGAGAGAGGGAGGUAGAAUUCCAUGUGUAGCGGUGAAAUGCGUAGAUAUAUGGAGGAAUACCAGUGGCGAAGGCGGCCUCCUGGCUCAAUACUGACGCUGAGGUGCGAAAGCGUGGGGAGCAAACAGG